rnacentral:tRNA from 1 species
UCCCUGGUAACUCAAAUGGUAAAGAAACUGCCUGCAAGGCAGGAGACCUGGGUUCGAUCCUUGGCUUGGGAA